rnacentral:rRNA from 1 species
AGGUGGAGCGAAUCUCACAAAGUACGUCGUAGUCCGGAUUGGAGUCUGCAACUCGACUCCAUGAAGUCGGAAUCGCUAGUAAUCGCAAAUCAGAAUGUUGCGGUGAAUACGUUCCCGGGCCUUGUACACACCGCCCGUCACACCAUGGGAGUGGGCUGCAAAAGAAGCAGGUAGUUUAACCUUCGGGAGGACGCUUGCCACUUUGUGGUUCAUGACUGGGGUGAAGUCGUAACAAGGUAGCGCUAGGGGAACCUGGCGCUGGAUCACCUCCUUACACGA